GACGAACGCUGGCGGCGUGCUUAACACAUGCAAGUCGAACGGAAAGGCCCUGCUUUUGUGGGGUACUCGAGUGGCGAACGGAUGAGUAACACGUGAGUAACCUGCCCUUGACUUUGGGAUAACUUCAGGAAACUGGGGCUAAUACCGGAUAGGAGCUCCUGCUGCAUGGUGGGGGUUGGAAAGUUUCGGCGGUUGGGGAUGGACUCGCGGCUUAUCAGCUUGUUGGUGGGGUAGUGGCUUACCAAGGCUUUGACGGGUAGCCGGCCUGAGAGGGUGACCGGCCACAUUGGGACUGAGAUACCGCCCAGACUCCUACGGGAGGCAGCAGUGGGGAAUAGUGCACGAUGGGCGGAAGCCUGAUGCAGCAACGCCGCGUGCGGGAUGACGGCCUUCGGGUUGUAAACCGCUUUCGCCGGUGACGAAGAGUGAGUGACGGUAAUGGGUAAAGAAGCAACGGCUAACUACGUG
rnacentral:rRNA from 1 species